AACGAACGCUGGCGGCAUGCCUAACACAUGCAAGUCGAACGAAGGCUUCGGCCUUAGUGGCGCACGGGUGCGUAACGCGUGGGAAUCUGCCCUUAGGUUCGGAAUAACAGCUGGAAACGGCUGCUAAUACCGGAUGAUAUCGCGAGAUCAAAGAUUUAUCGCCUGAGGAUGAGCCCGCGUUGGAUUAGGUAGUUGGUGGGGUAAAGGCCUACCAAGCCGACGAUCCAUAGCUGGUCUGAGAGGACGAUCAGCCACACUGGGACUGAGACACGGCCCAGACUCCUACGGGAGGCAGCAGUGGGGAAUAUUGGACAAUGGGCGAAAGCCUGAUCCAGCAAUGCCGCGUGAGUGAUGAAGGCCCUAGGGUUGUAAAGCUCUUUUACCCGGGAAGAUAAUGACUGUACCGGGAGAAUAAGCCCCGGCUAACUCCGUGCCAGCCGCCGCGGUAAUAC
rnacentral:rRNA from 1 species